AAUGAUUAUUAUGCUUUGGGUAAUCAUAAUGAACUAUAAUGAAUCAGUAUACUUAAUUAAAUAAUGUUUUUGAAGAUGUUUAGCGAUGACCUUCACACCUGCUCAUACAGGUCCAGAUCCACAGUAAUUCAAAACACAUUUGCUCUGACGCACAAGUUUGCUUUGGGAAGAGAAGUGGUUUGGGUAAGUUAGUCAGAACGAGAGUGAGAACAGAAGAGAGAGGAAGUGCGGAACGAACGCCACUGGGAAAGAAGCCUGCCGGCUUCUUUUCUCCCCCCACGCUAUUUCUGUCAAGCUAGACAGAAUAGCUGAAAUGCAACCAGCUAACUCAGACUCGUCCCAGAGUCUUUUGGUUUCUGAGUUAAUUUAAACUUGAGAAAGCACAUCUGCUGAAUGCUUCAGCAACGUGUACCGAGGUCAACUCUGGACCGGAUCGCUGCACACCUUUGUCUCCUCUGCCAGCCAAGGUGUGACCUGGAUAAAACAUCCUCCGAGGUCCGGAUCUAAACGGGGAUCCUAAGUACGCCACUUCCUCAAGAGCGAAGUUUGAUGAAUGUCGCUCACAUUAGGGUGACCUCCGAGAUAACCCCUCCCUUCCUUCCCAAGAAAAUUCAUCAGGCAGAGAUGGGCAGCCUCUGGGAUGUGUGAUUCAGCACUCAAGGCGGAGAUCGAUGCGGGUGGCGAGAUCUUCAAGCUCCGCCAAGGUAACUGGUAGGUCUCGGGUCGCCAGUUCAUUCUUAAUCUUAUCUGAGAGACCAUAGUAGAAGACGUCCAUGAGUGCUGCAUCAUUCCAUGGGCUGUCAGCAGAAAUGGCGUGGAAAUUCCUGAUGUAAUCAGUCACUCUCCGGGUUCCCUGUUCCAAAGAUAAAAGUUUUCUGGAAGAUUCACGGCUUGGCAGGAUUGGGUUAAAAACCCUUGUCAGCAAAAGACUGGUACUGGUAGCAGAUGUGUGUGUCAUUAGCCCAAGCAGCUGUUCCCCACACCAUGGCUUGGUCUGAUAAUAAAUAUAUCACAUAAGCCACUUUGGAUCUGUCUGUAGGAAAAGAGGAGGGUUGGAGUUGGAAGUGCAUUUCACAUUGUGUGAAAAUGGGUAGACAUUGUUGAGGAUCCUCCUUAAGCACUUCAGAUGGAACCUUGUGGACAGGUGAAACCCAGAACUGAACUGGUUGGGCGGAAGCCGCUGGAGCAUGGGUCACAUGGCUUGCCUGAGCGUUGGAUCAGAGUAGCUCCAGCAAUCCGUUGAGUUUGGAUUCCAAGCCAGAAAUGGCUGUCUCAACUCCAUGUUGCCAUUCCUGUGUCGGCGUUGAGUCAAUGGUGGCCAGAUUGUUCUGUCGUGACCUUGGCAGAGGACCGUACGGACACCAGAGCACAGUAGGUGGUAGUAAACAGUCUUUAUUAGCCUGAAGCUAAGAGGAGAUCUUACCGGAGUGGAGUUCAGGACAAGGCAGAGUCUAGGACAGACGUGGGUCAGACCCAGGCAGAGAUGAAGCAGCUUUGAGGCGCAGGUGAGAGACGUGGUCAAGAACAGACGUGGAUCAGAAUCAGGUUGAGACGAAGCAGAUACGAGGAACAGGCGAGAGACGUAAUCGAAGACAGACGUGGAUCAGAACAAGGUAGGUACAUGACGUGGUCGUGGACAGGCGUAGGUCGUGGAGGCAGACAGACUUUUUGGUGAGGGUCAGGCAUGAAACGAGGUCGGUAGACAAUGAUCAGGCAGGAUGAAAAGGCUGAAAGAUCUACUAGCAGGCUGAGGAGGUGGAUGGUGGUAGCAUGGAGGUCAGGACAUGGCAGGAUCAUGACACACAGAUUUGUAUUAUUGAAAAGAAAAACUUUCAUAUUUAUUGGAAAAAGCAUUGAGACAUGGAGGGUUAGAGGUGAUUUUUUUAAGUUUUAAGAACUUCUUUUAAAAUGACAUUUUACAGACCUUUUCAUAUUCUUUCCUCCUUGAAAGAAAUAUAAUAUGGCACACUCAUGAGACAUAUGGGCAACAAAUAUUUAUUGUAUAAAGCAAUUUAUUUGGUUUAAUCAGAAAUGUGGUUAACAUCCAUAAUCGCAAGUAAACAAUGUCCCUAAUUAUCAAUGCAGUGUUCACUAUUUAGUAAUAAGAAAAAUGAACUACUUAAGAAUAUGAAUGUGUAGUAAGAUAUCAUGAAACUUUUUCCUUGAAAAAGUUAGAUUUAGAACAUUAACUUUCAAGUUCUUUUUAUAGCUGAAUGUGCCAUAAAUAAUUUUUUAUCUUUCCACCUUUCAAGAAAUCUUUAAGGAGCAGUCUGUUAGGAUUGAGGAGAAGUGAACUUUAAUCAAAAUAUUGAGAAUUUCAGCAAAGACCUUCACCUCAUACAAAUAUGUUUGGUGAAGUGCAAAAAAUCCAUAAAGAUUCUGAAAUCAUAGCUCUUGCACAGAGCUUGGGAUUACAGACCUUAUUUAUGUGAACUUUGUAUUUAUAAUAAAUGUUACACAGGGCAAAGGGCAUGUGUUAUACUUUAUAGCUACUGGAUAGUUCCAAUAGUUUUGUUGUGGAAUACCAUGCUUUUUUUCAUGUGUAGGAAAGUAUUUGCCCUUUCUUAUUUCUGUAAUUUUUAAAUAUUUUUUAUUGUAUUUAAUUCAGAAAUUUAUCAUUUUCCACAAUUAUAUUUUGAUUUCAGACACUACAACACGGUUGUCAAACUCAAUUUCACACUGGGCCGAAAUGAAAAUCGGGAAUGAAGUUGCGGCCCAAACCUAAUAUUUUUUGAAAAAGUGACGACAAAUUUGCACAUUUUCUUUAUCAACAAAUGCAAUUUUGAACCUUUUAAUUUGGAAACAAACAUAUUUCUGCAUUAACACUGAAUAUGGAAUAACCAAAUUGCACACGAGCAAGUCAAUUUGAAAUAAAAUGCAUCAGUGGUAUUCAUUACUUGUGGUAUAUUCAGCAUUUUUUAAAUUUAUUCAGGAUUUAUGUUUUCCUGUUGUUUAUUCAUUUUUCUUAUUUUUAUUCUCCUUUUUUUGUCUUUAAUAAGUGUCAUUGCUGCUGUGACAUCUAGCUUUCCCCACUGAGGAACUAUAAAGGGAUUUUCUAUUCUAUUCAUCUAUCUGCAGCCCUUCCAGUUCGUGUUUUACUGUAGGUUAAAUCUAUUCUCACGGGCCAACAGCAAAAUAAAAAUAUAAAUUUAUCUUAAAUGAAAAUGCAACAUCUCACCUGUUAACUUUCAUCUUUUGGAGCAGAAAAAGAGCAUAAAACCAAAAUAUGUAAAGCUCAGUUUGAUCCACUGAUUUACUGCGAUGCUCACCUGUUCCAGCCAGAUACCUGCAUCAUGGGGUUGAGGAGCUCUGAGCUGAGGAGGAGACUCCUGUUGUUUUGUUCCUCUUCAUCAUAAUAAUGACAACAUUAGAUGACAACUGGUGAUCACAUAGGUUUGUGCUGAUGAACAUGUCUGAGCAGCUUGACCACGUUGUUGUGUGUCGGGGAGGCAAAAUAAAAACUACAGCAGCCACAGAGUCAUGCUGAAUUGAGCGUGUCACUGCUCGAUGGAGUUAUGUCAGCUCUGUCUGGAAGUUAGUUGGAACACUUUCUCUUUCAGUCGUGAACACAUUACUGAGCGGUUAAAAUCUCCGUUUCUGGGCUUCAACGUUGGCAAAUAGCUGAGUGAACUCGGCGUUGAGUGAGAGGAGUGUUUAGUUUGUCCGAGACAGCGGAGCUGCAGACACUGGCAGCAGACUCUGGAAAAAACACGAAGGAGGGGGCGCUUCGGCUCCGCGCUAACGCUGCAAAGCAUCAUGGGAGUUGUAGUCUUUGCAGUAAAAUCGGUCUGUCGGUCAGUUUUAAUAAAUUUUUGAUAUUUAUCGUGCGGGCCACAUCAAAAUGCCCGCUGUCCUUGUGUCUGACACAUGUGCUCUACAAGGUGUUUUAGAAUAUUUUCAUGAAAAGGAAAGCAGUAAACCAUACAGAUAUGAGCCAAGUCAUUUAACUUGGCAAGCUAUCCUAUAUACUGUAAAUCUUCUAAUAUUGGCCUGUAUUCCAUUACUGGCCGUGUCUCCUUCAAUAGCCAGUCUUCCUGGGGUCCCUUUCCAAAUCAAUUUAAAAAGACAAAAACACAAUACGGUUACCGACCACAAUCAAUUAAAAUCCCAUAAUUUCAUAACACCAUCCACCAAUAAAGAAGUUAUAUUACUAAAUGAUCGUUCUUGGAAGAACCUCAGUUUGGAGAAACAGAUUAGCUCUGAUCGGCCAGAUGAGCUAAGAGCUAGUCGCACUUUGUAACAUAAACAGUUCCGAAGUGUCUUAAAAGAAAUUUUAUCUAAAAAGUGUCUGCAGUUCCUGACAAUACUGCUAUAAGAGCCUUUGCACUGCUGGAAAUGUAACAUUCCAGUGGAAACUAAUUUCCAGAAAGAAGUUGCACAGUAUGGGGAUGUGAACAAUUGUUGCCCCAUACAGAUUUCUUUUGUUAAAUUUUCUUUCAUCACAUCUUUUCUAAAGAACUGUAAACACAAAGGAACAAUCUAUGGGUAUUGUGAAGAGGAAAAUGCAACAUGCCAGACCCAACAAUUCAGAAGAGCUGAAGGUCACUAUCAGAGCAACAUGGACUUUUCCAUAACACCUGAUCUACUGCAUGCCACGCCACAUUGCUGCAGUAAUCCAGGUCAAAUGAGCCCCAACUAAAUAUUGAGUGCUGUUCAUGCUCAUACGUUGUAGUCUUUGCAGUAAAAUCGGUCUGUCGGUCAGUUUUAAUACAUUUUUUAUAUUUAUCGUGCGGGCCACAUCAAAAUGCCCGCUGUCCUUGUGUCUGACACAUGUGCUCUACAAGGUGUUUUAGAAUAUUUUCAUGAAAAGGAAAGCAGUAAACCGUACAGAUAUGAGCCAAGUCAUUUAACUUGGCAAGCUAUCCUAUAUACCUUAAGUCUUCUAAUAUUGGCCUGUAUUCCAUUACUGGCCGGGUCUCCUUCAGUAGCCAGUCUCGCUGUUGGCGGAGGUAAAUAAAAGCCGGUUUCUAAUAGUGGCCCUUUUCACGACACAAACUUAACUGCAGUUUUGAAAACUUGAAAGUACUAUUGAUCUUAAAAUAUUUGAAUAAAAAGCAUAGCAUACUGUUAAUGAAUUAGAGUCUCUCAAAACACAACGGCAAAUGUGAUCACGUAUAAACAAUAGUCACUUCCUGCUUUCUGUUCUCAAGUCCUGCAUGAUGUUAUGACUAUCGCGCGACUUUCCAAGAAGCGCACAGUGGCGUGGCGCGGCACAUCCUGUGUGACCACUUCGUUUCUCAUAAUUGCCUCCAGUGUGCCCCAGGGUUUAUUUACUUUGUUGACUGGGUGUAAAAAUGCUCAAAUUCCGUGCGAUCGGGACAAAAACAAGCGUUUUAUUAUUUUAUUUUUUACGUGUAAAGAAAAUAGGGCGCCACAAAGGACUUACUGAAACUUUCUGAAGACGGAAUCGUGGAUCAUAAUCUCUGGCUGCAAGAUGAGCAGAAAUGGAACGGAAAAUACUACUGUAUGCAGUGAUCAUUUCAUCACAGGUAGGGGUUUACUAAAGGUUUUAUUGGCGUUUUAUUGAAUAGCUUAGAAAUGCAGCUACAAAAACAACAGGUAACCAGUUUGAUACUGUUUUCUUGUGUCGUCACCGCAAAUAGCUUGUAGAGUGCUAAUGUUUUUAGCAGUUAGCUCAGGUUGUAAUGCGGAACUGCGGAGUAUUAGACUGUGUCCACAGGUGACACCAAUGUGUAAUCAGUGGGGAAGUUAAUAAAGGGAUGGCCCACUUUCCUUCCAGUUGUUGGCAGAAUAAUGGAUGAGUGUUACAGUGAGUGGCAGUGACAGAGAUGUUUGUUAAGAAGGAGCUGAGGGGAAAGUGCUGGGAGCCGUGAGAAAAGGAAAACGAAUGAGAUGGGAGUUUUAUAUUGCUACUUGCCACCAUCCACCUGGAUAUUACCGCUAGCCGCUGAAGGUAAAGUGGCUCUGUUAACACAGAGGAUGAGGAUUAAACAGUUGGAGAAAUUUAUUUUUUGCUUCAAACCAAAAGAGAACAGGUAAAUUUUGGAGUGGAAGGGUGUCUGUUGACUGUGAAUCAAUAACCUAAUUAUCACCAAGUGUUUACAAUGCACUAGUGGCAUGUUCACUACCAUACUGAGAUUUGACCCUGAAAAAAUGGUGAUUGUUGUAAAUGUUCCAUAUGCAUUAGAACGUACAAUGUUAACUACAUUUCCAAUAAACGAACCUAGUGUUUUAUAGGUUCAAAUAGACACAACAUUGUGUUUAUAUUCAUUCUAAUGGUAGUUUAUUUUGCUCAAAUUGAAAUUGAGGCCUGUCUCUAAUUCUGGCCUCCUUCCAAUAAAGGCCUGAACCAAGGUGUACUUGAGUAAAUAAGUGCCCAGGCCUGUAUUAGAGGAUUUACGGUAUGUGAAUAUGUCGUCUGGCCCAGGGUCACACAGAGGCUUUUUACUUUUUUAAUUUUAAGAAACUAGUAUUAAAAUAAUAACACAAUGUGAGUUAGAAUGUUUGCUUUACAGCUGAAAUUCAUUUAUUUGUCACCUUUAAAACUUUAGACUAUAAAAUGAGGUGCAGUCCUAAUUUCUUUAUGUUAUUUGCCAUUUAUUUUGUUUCUUUUCCCAGUUUCCGAGUCUCCAUCUUCAUUAAAAUGAAACCUACCAGUGGUUUUUGUACCAAUAGUUUUCUGAAUGGCUGGCAGUUGGGCACAACCAUUAUUAUAUUGUGAUUGAUGUAGUUAUCUUCCUGUAUUAAUUCAAUUUAUUAAAUAGUAAGUAAAAUUCAUCUUA